CUCUUCCCUCUAUCUGCUGAUAAUGACCAAUUUGUUCUCUAUGUCUGAGUCUUGUUUCUUUCUUUGUAUUAAACUUAGUGUCACAUUUUCUGUUUAUUUACCAUUUCACUAGAAAUUCCUCCAUGCAAUCAUAAAAAAAUAUGACAUUUUAAUUGAAUUUAUUUCACAAUUGAUAGGGCCUGAUAUUUGUUUUUUUAAUGUGUAUGAGACAAUAAAAUUGGGAUUAAUGUAAUUCCUUUGCCAAUACUUUUUUUUUUUUGGCUGUGUUGGGUCUUCGUUGCUGCCCGCAGGCUUUCUCUAGUUGCGACGAGCGGGGGUACUCUUUGUUGCGGUGCGCGGGCUUCUCAUUGCAGUGGCUUCUCUUGUUGCGGCACACGGGCUCUAGGUGUGCGGCUUCAGUAGUUGCAGCAUGCGGGCUCAGUAGUUGAGCUUUGCUAAUACUUGUCAAACAGUUGUCUGUGUAGUGUUUUAAAGUGAAAGGUGACAUGAAACUAGUAGACUUCAUUAUCUCUUGAGAAUACACUGUGCUUCUCAAUGGGAGCACGAUUAGGCAGCUGGGGUAUUUUGUGAAGGACUGUCCCACGUGUUACUGGACAUUUAACACUCUGGUCCCAGCCCGAUAACAGGCCCAGUCAUUGCAACAGUCAGAACUUUCUUACCUAUCUUCAAAUGCCUCCCCUGGAGUGGGUGCUGCUCGGGUUGUGGACUGUCUGGCUAUCAGUAUUUUCUCCAGACUCUCAUUACUGUCUCUCAGCUUAAGGGAGAGAAUAUUACGACAAAUCUCUAGUUAAAAUUGAAUAAAAAUUUCCAUUCAUAAAAAACAAAACAAAACAAAGCCUUAUAAUUUCUAACAAUAGCUCUUACUCAUUAAGCAUCUACCAUGAGCCUGGCACUGUGCUACAUACCUUAUGUGCAUCUCCUUGUUUCAUACUCAUUGUAACAUGUGACAUGAGCGGCAGUAUUCUCAUUUUACAGAUGGAUGAGGAAACAAUUAUUAAAUGCAUAAUAUGUGAUUAAAAUUUAUCAUCCAAUAUUUGUUAAGUACAUUCUACGUACUAAGCACUGAGAUAAAUUCAUGAACAAGAUAGACACAUUUUGCCCUCAAUGAACUUGCCCUGAGUUUACACAGCUCAAUAAGAAGCAUGAAGAUUUUAACCCAGAUCUGUCAUUUCUAAAACUGUCUCCUAUUUCUACCACUACCUCUACCCCAAUUGUCUUCCUGAAGAAGAAUUUAGUCAGCCAGAGUCAUUGUAACUGAUGAACUGUAAAUCUAUGUAGGUGACAAACAGCACUCGGCAGUAAGCUUUCCGUUCUUUCUCCUCCUUAGGGUUGCUGGGGUCCAUGUGAACAGCCCUCUUGAGGAUAGUGCAGUGUACAGCCUGCACGGCUGUAAAUGAGCAAGAGACAUCUCUGCCUGGGAUACUUUCCCCUUUCCUAUACAAUGCUUUCCUGACUAAGGAAGUUGUACCUUGUAUUGAGACUCCACUAAAAUACCUCCUCUGACCCAUAGGUUUUUCAUGUUCUAAUCAACCAACCUGCCUCUCUCCCUCCCUUCCAUCCGUCCUUCCUUCCUUCCUUUCACUCAUGCAUACGAGUAUUUUUGAAUGCCCACUACACUGUGAUCAUAGUGUCAAUAAGAUAGACAGUCCUAUCCUCAAAGAUCACACCUCUCAGAACUAGUCUUUCCACUCCCACCUUUAUCAUCGUGUGUAUAACUCAUAUAGUGCUGCAUAGUUUAUUAGGUACUAGUGUGCCCUUCAGUACUUUACUAUGAUGGCAUUUGUUUGGAACAUUGAUUAGAGUAACACUGAUGGGCAUUCACUUACGUGACUUUCUUAUUUUGAUUGGCAUGAUAGCUGCAAGUUUGUAUGCCAGUGUAUAGGCUGAUGUGCAGGGUUUGGUACAAAGGAGAAUUGCAUAAAAUAUAUUAUUUCAUUUUCUUACUUUCAAACAUUGAGGAGUAGGCUCUAGAGGGCUUUGUUUUUUCAGCUAGUUGCCUAUAUCAGAUGUUCUAUGUAACAUGCACAUAUUAGUUAUUAUGCAUAUAGUAGAGACAGAGGAAAGGACUCGGCAAACGGGAUGGGUCAGAAAGGUUAAAAAAAUUUUUUAAUUUCUCAAGAUAAACUUUUACCCCUAAAACAUGUUCCUUGGCUAUGUGAAGUCCUUCCCAUUUGAUUAUGAGUCACUGAGGGUAGAGGUCAUGUCACUAUCCUGUUUAUGAUGCUUAUUCUCCCUUAACCAUCUAGUAUCACUGCAAGUCACUGUUGGAACUUCACAUGGGCUCAGAUUGUAUUGAAUUGACUAUGAGAGCAGAAGGUGAUUUCAUCACCUUCUGAAUAAUAUUGAGAGAUCAUGGUUCUGGAAAACAGGAAACCUGGAUUCUAUGUCCCAACUGGAAUAUCUAGUGUUGUGCCCUCAAAUAUAUCACCCAACCUCACUGGGGCCAGUUUUCUUGAAAAAUGAGAAGACUGGAUAAGAUUGGCUCAAAGUUUCCAAAAUCCUGUGAUUAUUCUGUUACCACUCUAGAGUAAAUGCGUAGGGAAAUUUACACAUUGGGUAAGAAAUCUAGGUUGUAGAGUCCUUAUUUCCAUUUUUAAAUAUAGGUAGCCUUGAUGGGUUUUAUUUGAACUUUCUAAAAAGGACUUAUAUUUCCACUUCAGACUGUCUGCAAAUGCUAGGAGCAUAUGCCUAAGACAUUUUGUAGUUAGAUAUGUGAACAUGAAAGUUUUCAAAUGACUGUAAACUAUUUUUUCUUGUCUUUUUGGAGAGACUCAUCUUUUUCCCAAGACCGGCUCCCAAUGAUGCUCAUCAGCUGCUAUGAUUAGAACUUUUACAGACUCCACAGUCAUCAAACCCACACCAGGAGGAGCCAACUAUUAUCCUAAAAGGUGAUUGCCUGGUGUUUCAGAAGACUUAACGCAAGAGCUGGCUACUUCUUCACUUCUUUUUCCAAUUAUUCCUGCAGGGGCUCUAGCUGAGGCGUGCCUUAGCAUGUCUAUAAGGGGGAAAAAAUGUGAAUCUUAAGUAGAGUACAAAAAGUAAUUCAGGAGCAAUGGAACCGGUUAAAGACCUCUACGCAGUUGUCCUAAUGACUCUACAUUGUUACUGCUUAGGCUUUGGAGUCCAGAAGGCUGCCUUUGAAUCUUGCCUCUGUGAUGUAAAACACUGGUUAGGUGCUCACCCAGUCGUAUUCGUUCUGUCCUCUUGCUUACAGAACCUUAAUUUUGUGUGCGUGAAAAUGUGUCUCCUACUUAUUUUCGUUUCAAGCUUCACUUCAGCUCAAGGGGCCGUAUAUGACAGAACCCUGGCCAUCUGCUGGGGUUCUGUCACAGCUUUCCUGAUAAAAAGAGGACGCUUAUGGCUCAUACCCUCUUCUGCUCUCUUUCUGCCUUAGACAUUGACAUGAUGUCUGGAAAUGCAGCAGCUAUCAUGUGCUUCUGCAGAAAAGGCUGAAAGAGUCACAGAUACCAGCCCCCUGACAUUGUUGAAAAGCUAAUCCAACAUCUGCAUUCACCAUAUUCCAGAUUGUCAAUUAUGUAGAAGAAUAAACCGUUAUUUGUUUAAGCCAUGA